rnacentral:tRNA from 2 species
GAUUUAAAACAAGCCGCUAUGGUGAAAUCGGUAGACACGCUGCUCUUAGGAAGCAGUGCUAGAGCAUCUCGGUUCGAGUCC